UACGAAGGGGGCUAGCGUUGUUCGGAUUUACUGGGCGUAAAGCGCACGUAGGCGGCUUUCUAAGUCGGGGGGUGAAAUCCUGGAGCUCAACUCCAGAACUGCCUUCGAUACUGGAGAGCUCGAGUCCGGGAGAGGUGAGUGGAACUGCGAGUGUAGAGGUGAAAUUCGUAGAUAUUCGCAAGAACACCAGUGGCGAAGGCGGCUCACUGGCCCGAUACUGACGCUGAGGCACGAAAGCUAGGGGAGCAAACAGG
rnacentral:rRNA from 1 species